AUUGAACGCUGGCGGAAUGCUUACACAUGCAAGUCGAGCGGCAGCGCGGGGGCAACCCUGGCGGCGAGCGGCGAACGGGUGAGUAAUAUAUCGGAACGUACCCCGUCGUGGGGGAUAACACAGCGAAAGCUGUGCUAAUACCGCAUACGACCUGAGGGUGAAAGCGGGGGAUCGCAAGACCUCGCGCGAUGGGAGCGGCCGAUAUCGGAUUAGCUUGUUGGUGAGGUAAAGGCUCACCAAGGCGACGAUCCGUAGCUGGUCUGAGAGGACGACCAGCCACACUGGAACUGAGACACGGUCCAGACUCCUACGGGAGGCAGCAGUGGGGAAUUUUGGACAAUGGGGGCAACCCUGAUCCAGCCAUUCCGCGUGAGUGAAGAAGGCCUUCGGGUUGUAAAGCUCUUUCAGCAGGAACGAAACGGUGGCCACUAAUACUGGCUACUAAUGACGGUACCUGAAGAAGAAGCACCGGCUAACUACGUG
rnacentral:rRNA from 1 species